rnacentral:rRNA from 2 species
UACGGAGGGGGCUAGCGUUGUUCGGAAUUACUGGGCGUAAAGCGCACGUAGGCGGCGAUUUAAGUCAGGGGUGAAAGCCCAGUGCUCAACACUGGAACUGCCCUUGAGACUGGAUUGCUUGAAUCACGGAGAGGUGGGUGGAAUUCCGAGUGUAGAGGUGAAAUUCGUAGAUAUUCGGAAGAACACCAGUGGCGAAGGCGGCCCACUGGACGUGUAUUGACGCUGAGGUGCGAAAGCGUGGGGAGCAAACAGG